rnacentral:lncRNA from 13 species
GUGGUAGAGACACAGGGUCUUGCUCUGUUGCCGAAGCUGAAGUGUAGUAGCUCGAUCAUGGUUCACAGCAGCCUUGAACUCCUGGACUCAAGCUAUCCUCCCACCUCAGCCUCCCGAGUAGCCAGGACUUACAGAUUUCAGGCCGGGCAUGGUGGCUCACACCUGUAAUCACAGCACUUUGGGAGGCCAAGGUGGGAGGAUCGCUUGAGCCCAGGAGCUUGAGACCAGCCUAGGCAACAUGGUGAAACCUCAUCUCUACCAAAAAUAUAAAACUUAGCCCGUCUCAUAACCCAGUCUCAAAAAAUAUAUAUAUAUAAAUAAAAAUGUAAAGAUAAGAUACUUUUUUAAAAGA